UACGGGGGGAGCAAGCGUUGUUCGGAUUUACUGGGCGUAAAGGGCGCGUAGGCGGCCAGCGCAAGUCAGUUGUGAAAUCUCCGGGCUUAACUCGGAACGGUCAACUGAUACUGCGCGGCUAGAGUGCAGAAGGGGCAACUGGAAUUCUCGGUGUAGCGGUGAAAUGCGUAGAUAUCAAGAGGAACACCUGAGGUGAAGACGGGUUGCUGGGCCAACACUGACGCUGAUGCGCGAAAGCCAGGGGAGCAAACGGG
rnacentral:rRNA from 1 species